rnacentral:rRNA from 1 species
GUAGGUGGCAAGCGUUGUCCGGAAUUAUUGGGCGUAAAGCGCGCGCAGGCGGUUCUUUAAGUCUGAUGUGAAAGCCCACGGCUCAACCGUGGAGGGUCAUUGGAAACUGGAGAACUUGAGUACAGAAGAGGAAAGCGGAAUUCCACGUGUAGCGGUGAAAUGCGUAGAGAUGUGGAGGAACACCAGUGGCGAAGGCGGCUUUCUGGUCUGUAACUGACGCUGAGGCGCGAAAGCGUGGGGAGCAAACAGGGAUUAGAUACCCUGGUAGUCCACGCCGUAAACGAUGAGUGCUAAGUGGUAGGGGGUUUCCGCCCCCUUAGUGCUGCAGCUAACGCAUUAAGCACUCCGCCUGGGGAGUACGGCCGCAAGGCUG